rnacentral:lncRNA from 1 species
GAGAGGAGAGGCUCUGUUGGGAUUUUGAGAAAUGAGAAUGCUGCCUUCAGGCAGAGAGGACGGGAGAGAGCUUUGCAGAAGGUGGGCAAGCGUGUCGAGGAGAGCCCAAGCCUAGAAGCUGGAGGUGGACCUGUUUUGUGGGAGCAGGGCAUCCACAGAGAGAAAUUCAGUGGAAAAUAAGGGCUAAGGCCACAAAAAGAGAGCCUUUAAAGAGGUUAUUCUAACAGUAAGAUUCGUAAAAGCAGUUUACUGGGUACUGCUUCUCAAACUUGAAUGCAGCCGUGGGUUCUCUUUGGACCUGGUUAAAAAUGCAGAUUUCAAUUUAGUUGGUCUGGACUGGGGCCAUAUAUUCUGGAUGUCUAAGAUGUUGCUAGCGCCAGGACCUCACCUUGAAUAGGAAGAGAUGGAGGACUAUGAGAAAAACGGUGAAGAUCUGAUUGGAAAACAUGGAGUGAAACUGUGGGUUUGGUUGGUGCUGAGAGUCAGUCUGUGAUCCUGGAGGCAGAAUCACCGGGACCCGCUUUCAAGAGGUUCUGGGAGGAAGCUGCAAACCGACGGAGGUGGUAUCGGAGGUGUGCUAGAGACUGGAAGUUCUGGUAACUAGGGAAGCAGGCAAGGUAACCAGAGACAUGGAUGUGGGAGCAGUUGCUAGGGAGAGGCAACAGCAUCCUGCCAGAUGGUGCCUGACAUCUCCACGGCAUGGAACUCUUUUUUAACAGACUGAGCUUGUUCUUGCAGCACAGGGUCUUAGAACUGCCGUCCGGGGAAGGCAGUUCAGAGCCCAAGAGCCCUUUGAAAUGGACAGGCUUUGGUGGCUACCGAAGCAAGGACUGUGACCAGAAGGCAACACGAAACUGGAGUCUGUGAGCAGACAACAUAGAGAAGCUUCCAACAGAUUCCACGAAGUGGGAGAGUAUGCUAAAACAGAAGACAUCAAAUACAACUUCAUACACUUUCUAGUCCUCCACUGUGGUGCUCAGACACUCUGCAUCUGAGGCUGUGCCAGUCCGUAGUCAUUCAUAAAGCACAGAUCCUGCCAUCCAGAUCCUUGCCAUACGAGCCAAUGGUGUCUUGCCAUUGCCAAAGAUGUUUCUUAGGCUUUAAUGAGCUUCCUAAUGGAACACGCCAAGCCCAGUGACUUUGAUUCUGAAAGAGGUCUUUGGAAACAAAAUGAAACGAGGUGGCUUAAUUUAAAUCUUUAUUUUUUAGCUGUAAAACUCUCAUAAGAAAUAAAUUCUUACCUUUUUCCAAGGACUUACGGUGGCAAACAUUUGAAAAUAUCACAUCUCCUGGCACCAACACCCUUGAAGUGAACUUGAGGGCCCAGCCCCAAUUUCAGGCUGCAUCUGUAAGGGUGGUAAUGAUUACUUGGGCCCUAUUGAAAUAAGAGGAAUACAGUUGCUAUGGAGAAGGUUUAACAUGUUGGUUCCUCUCUGGGAUUCCAAGUAUAACAAACAAACAGGCAGAAAGAUAAAAGAGCUUUCCAGGCUGUGGAGGGGUCAGGAAAACAGAAAUUGUUAUCUGCUUUUGAGAUUGAAACAGGCAAACAGGGGACCAUUCUUAUUCUUGGCAAAAGGCUCUCACUCGUAAAAUAGGUUUUUCUCAGAGAUCCAUCUGAACCCUCCUAACAUGGGACCUUAGAUCUGACAGCUUCUGGGGCAGAAGAAAUAUCUGCGAGACUGGUGUGGUGGAACGGCCGUGGCUGGGAGCUGAGUUGCAGCCGGCCACCUCCGUUCAUUCCCUGCCUUCUUCCUGGAAUGUGUAGGAGGACACAUGAGGCUUG